rnacentral:lncRNA from 1 species
GGGAGUCUUCUGCAUAUGCUAUUUGAUUUUGGAACAAGUGUCCUUACUAUGAAUUCAUACAUGUAUUUAUUGAUUCAAACUACGAGUUGAAUGCAAACAUACAUGCAUUACAGGAUUCUUAAAAGAUGGCUUACAGUCCAUGUUCUACAUAUGAUUGAUAUUACACUUUAUGCAAAAUGAAUUGCGCCCCAUGUUUUGGCUGCAAAGUAAUCGAAGUGCUGGGAACAUGGGCAUAGGCUGCAGAAAGCUCAAAUGAGAAAUUUUGCAGAAGCAAUGACAAUACUGUUUUUGCUUCUAACAAGGCAAAGUUUUGGCCAAUACAUAUCCUAGGACCCCAUCCAAAUGGGAAAUAUGAAACUUGGCCUUUAGUGGCUUUAGCAAUGCCUUCAGAGAACCUUUCAGGUUUGAACUCGUUUGCAUCAUCGCCCCAUAUAUCACUAUCAUGGUGCAUCAAUAGUAUUGGUAAGGAAAUACGGGUUCCUGCAGGUAGUAACAUGUUUCCAAGUUUUAAAUCCUUUUGAACAGCUCGACUGAAGUAAAUUACAGGUGGAUAUAACCUGAGAACCUCAUAUAAAAUCAUGGUCACCUAUGAGACAAAAAGUUAUGGGAAGUUUAUUAGAAUUAAAUACCAUUAUAAUAACUAUAAUAAUCUUCAAAAUGAAACUAUGCCGUGAUACAUACAAUUUUAAGGCGACUUAAGCCGUCAAAGUUUGGAUUUUGGUUGCCAAAAACCUGCAAAACUUCCUGCCUUGCACGUUCUUGCCACUCAGGAUACCGAGCCAACAACACCAUAGUCCAAACCAGGAAAGUUGAAGUGGUCUCUUGCCCCGCAAUGUAGAAUAGCUUGCACUCCUCAAUUACUUCUUGGUUGGUCAUUCCACCAUUUUUACAGUUUCCAAGUCAUUGAUUCUCAAUAUGAUUUGAUUCCAAAAGUAGGCCUAAUAAAUCAUCAUUUAUGGCUUCCCCAUUCUUCAAGGCUUGCUCUCGUUUUUUAAUGAUACCCUCGACUGAAUCGUAAAUACCUCUAUCAAUUUCCUUCAUCCUCUUAUUGGUGGAAGUUGGUAGAAGCCUAGAAAUAUCUAGUGAUGUUAUUUAUGCAGAAAUGAAGUUUUUUUUUCUUUCAGUAACUGACAUGCAUUAUUAUUCAUAACAGCUUGAACUCUUGUGCAUCUAUGAUCUAUCAUCAUCAUCAUGUGAAUCAUUUAGUAUGUCAUAUCUCCUUAAUUUACAAGACUUUCUGAAAACUAGAUAUCAAAUAUAUUGGUACAAGGCAUAUGAUAUCUACGAAAUGUAAUACAAAAACCAUAUAUGUGUCGUUACAAAUAUAUUGAUCUUUGUGCAUUUUCUUAAGACUAAUUUGCAUAGAGAUAAAUGGUAAUAGGUUGAUCCCUUUAUAAAUCAUGGUGAGUUUUCUUCUGGUAAAACUAGAGCAUGCUUAAUUUAGUUGUCAAGGACACCAAAGUCAUAGUAGUCUUACCACCACAUUGGGAUGUUUGUAUACAGUGCCGUCAUUAAAAGAUACCCCUGCCUUCUCAGAAGCCCAAACAUUUUUGUUCCUUCUGCAUAGCUGCUUCCAAAUGCCGUUCUAGAAAUUACAUCACAAGUCAAAUUCUGAAGAAAAGGCCAAACAUCAAUCUCACAUGAUCCAUCUAAUGACAACAUUUCCUUCCAUUUGCUAAUCAUAUCAUGACUGCUUUUUAAAAAAGCUGGUAGCAUAUUCUGAAAGUUGUGCAAUAAAUCACAUAAGCAAAAGAAAAAUUAGAGGUUGAAAACUAAGUACAUGAAUAAAUGAAAGCCAUAACCUUACUUUCAAUUUAUCUGCGUGGAAUGCCGGGGUAAUAAUUUUCCGAUGUUUAGCCCAUUUUUCACCCUGAUGUUCUACCAGUCCAACACUAAAGAAUUUGGAAAUGGAAUUUAACUUUGGUUUAGGGAAGUCUUGCAUCUUAUUGAAGACUUCUUUGAUUUGUUCUGGGUUUGUGAUGAUCACCUUUGGUGUCACACCUUCCCAUAAAAAGGAAUUCUUGCCUGUACAUCCAUUUAUUAUUAGCAACUGUUCAAACAAGGAACAACUUCAAGUUCUACAUUUCAUAUUAGCUUCAAGAGCAUAUAAUGUUUGGUGCCUAAAUUUGAUAAUACUAUAAACUCCUCCAAUACUUCUUUUUACCCAUGUAUUCACAGCUAUCCUUACCACUACCACUAUAGCCAUCAUAUAACCCCUACCAUCACUUCCUUGUUAAAUUAAGGGGCCAAAAAUAAACUGUCAACUAAAGGGUAUCAAUUAUGAAUGCAUUUCAACCGUAAGACCUCCCAAAUUACAUUUAUCUCGGAUAAGAAUUUCAAGAUCAAUCGAGUUAAAGAGAGGAAUUGAAAUGAAUUGUGAUAAAAUGGCUUAUUUGGAUAUUAAAUCCAGCAAAUUUGAAAAGUUAUGGGAUUUUAACUGAGUUUUUGUUUUUCUAAGCUCUUUAGUCCUGUGAAGAGGGGUAGAGGGAGAUCAAAAAGAAUAAUGGAAGAUAUUGCUAAAAAUGACAUCAAUAUCAAUAAUAUCCCUCCAAAUCUGAUUUUCGAUCAAGCUCAAUGCCAUAGUGUGAUUCAUAUAGACGACCUCACUUAGCACUUAGUGGGAUAAGGCUGUUUGUUUCUGUUGCUUUUGGCUCUUUGCUCUCUAUUUCAGUUGAGGUUUUCUUUCCAUUUCAAACUUUGAACUUCAAUGCAAGAUGUGAAAUUCUUUCUCACCCACUGUUUUCUUCAAUUAGCCUUUGCUCUCAUGAUUAGGCUUUCAAAAUCCUAAAUUUCAGUGUUCUCAGGAUGAUCAGGUUUCAAUAUUUGCUUGGAUCUUCCUCCAAAUUCUUUGUAAACCAAGGUCAGGGUCAAAUUUAUUCUCACAGCUGAAUCUGAAUUCUAUUAUUCAUUUUCUAGCUAAUACUCAACAGAAAUUGUUGAUUGUUCUAUGAAAAAUUAACACUUAGUUGUGUACUGCUAUCAUGUAGAAGUUAUAGAGGGGUAAUUUAUAUUGCAGCACGUACAGAAGAACUACAGAGAUUGUUUGGCAACAUGAUCAGGGCAGUAGGAAGUUCAAUUUUUUUCACAUCAUGACAUACAAGACAAAAGGAUAUUCAGCAACAAUGAAAAGACAUGCCCUUUAAGAUUUGAAGUUUCUUAACACAACACACGAAACACUAAACGAGUUGCAUACCAUAUUUCUGGACAGUUUGAUGGGUAGGCAAGAAUACAUGUGGCGCAACAUCAUCGGAGAGAGUAAUGGGUUUGGAGUUGGCUUCAUGUUGCAGCUUGAGCAUGUGGUUUUGCUUGGAAUCGUUAUCAAAAAGCUUAAGCUUGUAAGGUUGACCUUGAGCUCUCAGAAGAUUUUCCAUCUUCUUUGGUUUCAGCCACAGCACCUGCAAGGCCCACAUCGGAAUCACAGCAACUAUCACUGUCACCACAACCCACAUUAUUGAAAGCAUCUCCAUCUCUGCCUCUGGAUGACUCUGCUUCUUGUCUAGUGUACUAUUGCCAAGGUAAGAUAUUUAUGCAACUAAAUAUUUUAUUGUGACUUUCUUUUUUUGGUAGAUAUUUUAUUGUGACUUUAAUUAUGUCAUGGUUUAUUCAAUAAAGUAGCGGAAACCGGUUCUAUUAAGCAUCUAGUCUUGAAUUCAAUUUUUACAUAUCUGUGUGUAUAGGAAAAAAAUCUUCAUUUUAGUGUAUAACACUACCUAGAACGAUUAAUCUCUCAUUUAUUAAGUGAUAAGAUUAUGGAAAAAACCAAAAAUAAAGCUGCACGGCAACAAUAUAUUGGAGAGUAGGCAGGUAUGUGGCAGCAUCUCCAUGGCAAUGGUGAAGAAAGGCACGUAUCAUGCCAGGUUAGAGGAAGAGGGCCCACAUGGAGAAAAGGAGAAUCAAUGUGGUAGCAAUGGCCCCGGGGCAAAGAAAGGGAAUGAGGAAACGCGUGGCUAUCACAUCUUUACUUUCUCUUCUUUCUUCUUAUAACACCUCAUUUAUGAAGUGUGAAGAUAUAAUUAUUCGCUAGUAUAUAAGGAAUAAUUGAUAGUAGUUAUUUUUAUGCAAGUUGUGAGAAUUAUCUCUAUUCUGUUCUCCCUCUCUUACUCUCUAAUUUCCCAGAAUUUGCAUCUGUGUACUUUCCUUCUAGGAUUCUAUUCUGGAAGUGGUUUUAAUUCAAUCAAUACAAAGCUAUUUCCCUUUUUAUCAUUUUGCUCAUUACAGACCAACACUCAGGGCAGUGCAACAUGUUGUUCUUCUUUAUAGCAGAAACAGAAUCAGUGAAGCGGUGGUGGGGACCGAAUUCAUGAACAAACAAACAAAAAACGUUUCAACUUGGAUUUAAUUUUUUUUUUUUUCACGGGAAGACAAGCUUGCAUAUUUAAAAAUAUUCGACAAAGAUCAAAGUAUAAGUAGCUUGAUUAUAAAAACUCUGAUACUAUAUCAAUAAAUAAUUACUUAAGCAUUAGAUAAUGAUCAAAUGAUUAAUUUUAUAUUAUUAUUUUUAACAACCAGUUAAAAAAACCAAACUAAUUAAGGUUUCACGAGUGUAUGAAAGACAAAAGCAUAUGGCUAAGACGUUAACAAUCAAGAAUAAAAAACAUUUAUUUAAAGGCUUAUGGUCUCCCCUUAACGAGAAUGUGAAAAUACAAGAGUUCAAGGACCAGUUCUAAGCAACAUAGGGACUUGUUUGUAAAUACUAGUAGUUAGUGUGUAAUGGGUGAGCUGGCAAGUAGUUAGGUUGGUUAAAACAGAAUUAGGUAGUUAGUUACAGAUUAGUUGUUUAGCUUUGUAAUGAAAAUCAUUCGAUCUGGUCAAUAUACUCAAGAUUUCAUCUUCUUCAAGCUUCUUCAAUAAGCUUGCUCUCUGUAGUGAAUCAAAUUAAACAACUAACAAGAUCAUCAUGUAACUGUUCUAUAGUCUUUCAAAGAUAAUUUAAGAGUAGUACUCAGUUCACAGGAAAAACAAAAUGCAUAAAAUAAUAAGUUAAAAAAAUAUGUCACUAUAGGAACUCAUUUUACAAUAAAAGAUUCCAAAAAGUUUCAGGCCAAAAAAACCAGUCUAUAUAUAUAGCAGCUGCUAGAUCAGACAGCAAACAUGUAAUGGAAGGCAUCUAAAUGACAUCAAUUGAAGAAGAGUCAUAUCUGCUACAUUGUGUGCACUUCAGAGUUCAGACUUAUAUAUUUGUAAAUUGAUAUUUGAUAGAGUCAUAGAGUUAUGUGGAAUAAGUAUAUGAAGAAAACCAAAAUAAUGCUUUGAUUUUCUACACCCAUAAAAUGUUCAUGUGAUUCACAGUUGAUUCAAUGAAAUAUUCACAAAAUGAGAGCUUACCAUGCAAUGAUAAAUAGGGAAAUGUGCAUGAAACUUGGCAUGUUCAGAGUUCACCUCUCCUAAUAAACAUACAUGCACAAUAACUUUAUUUCCUCCAAAUAGAACCUAAAUACCUAAUAAAAAUUCAUCUACAAUAGCUUGAGUGUAAAGUCCUCCAAAUCAAACCGUGGAUUCUUCUACAAGAUAUGGUAUUUGAUUUUGGAACAAGUGUCCUUACUAUGAAUUCAUACAUGUAUUUAUUGAUUCAAACUACUAGCUGAAUGUAAACAUACAUGCAUUACAGGAUUCUUAAAAUAUGGCUUACAGUCUAUGUGCUACAUAUGAUUGAUACUACACUUUAUGCAAAAUGAGUUGCGCCCCAUGUUUCGGCUGCAAAGUAACCGAAGUGGUGGGAACAUGGGCAUAGGCCGCAGAAAGCUCAAAUGAGAAAUUUUGCAGAAGCAAUGACAAUACUAUUUUUGCUUCUAACAAGGCAAAAUUUUGGCCAAUACAUAUCCUAGGACCCCAUCCAAAUGGGAAAUAUGAAACUUGGCCUUUAGUGGCUUUAGCAAUGCCUUCAGAGAACCUUUCAGGUUUGAACUCCUUUACAUCAUCACCCCAUAUUUCACUAUCAUGG